AUAUUUUGUGCAUAUAUAAGUUCAUAAGAUUACAAGCCAUCAAUUAUAAUGGUUGCAUCGCAAUUCAUAUGCAGGAGUAACCCUCUUCACUUCAAGGGUGUUUGUAGCGUAUAGGCAAUCCAUCGCCUUCUUAGUCAUUACUCCGGUAGCUUAUUUCACAAGGUGAUCGAAUUCUGUGAUUUUUUUUUUUAUUUUUUUUUUUUUUUAACAUAAGACGAUAAAAUUGGAUUUUUUUCUUCCUAAAAAGAAUUUCUGCCAAUAAACUCCCUAUUCAGCCAAGGAGGUGAGAAUUGGUUGCUAGGCUGUUUAUUUCUCUUUGGAAGCUCUUGUUGCUGAUCACUUUGGCUAAUUUUGCAGGUACUCAAUUCUCAAGAUUUACAUAUAUUUUACAAUUUCUCAAUGAUUUUCAAUUUUUUUUGAAUAAUUUGUUAACAGGUAGGGCUAGCUACCCGGAUCAUCUAUCUUUAACUGCAUGGAUGUACAUCUUAGUUGCACUGCAAUCUGCAGUCGUCAUGUUGAUGAUAUGAAAGUUUGGCGACUGAAUUCGUAUCUCGAAUUCCUUUGCAGCUUGUAGGCAGUUAGUAUCGUAUCUAUUUAAAAUUCGAUAUGAAAAAUCAGUCACUGAAAUCUUGUUUUAUUUUUUAAUGAAGAUAAAAUUAUUCAAAAUCCGUGUUAGUGAAUUUGGACUGUAGGGCGUAUCAUCAGCAAUUACUUUCUUUGCCCAAGCCUGGUGCAUUGCUCAAGGAGGUCCACUAUUUUCUGCCAUCUUCAAUCCUCUAUUAAAAGUUAUAGUGACAUUUUUGGCUUUCGUAUUUCUACAUCAAGAGAUGUCCACAUAAUAUUAAGCCCUCAUUUGACCCCAUUUAAACUCAUCAAUUUAAUUUAAAAUUUUCUCUCUCCUAUUUUCAACCCUACAAUUUUCAAUAAAAUAAUAUUACAUGUAAAUCGAAAACUUUUCAUUCUUUUACAACCAUCCAUUUUUCAAAAUAACACUAUUCCCCC
rnacentral:lncRNA from 1 species